rnacentral:rRNA from 1 species
UACGAGGGGUGCAAGCGUUGCUCGGAAUUAUUGGGCGUAAAGGGUAGGUAGGUGGUCUCAUUUGUCUGAGGUGAAGGCCUUGAGCUUAACUCAAGAAGUGCCUUAGAAACGGUGAGACUGGAGUCCUGGAGAGGGUCGUGGAAUUCCCGGUGUAGCGGUGAAAUGCGUAGAGAUCGGGAGGAACACCAGCGGCGAAGGCGGCGACCUGGACAGGUACUGACACUCAACUACGAAAGCGUGGGUAGCAAACAGG